rnacentral:hammerhead_ribozyme from 1 species
ACCCAAAUGACGGGUCCCAAAUAGGAUGAAAUGUUCGUCCUGGAU